rnacentral:rRNA from 1 species
GAUGAACGCUGGCGGCGUGCUUAACACAUGCAAGUCGAACGGUGAAGGCGGAGCUUGCUCUGCUGGAUCAGUGGCGAACGGGUGAGUAACACGUGAGCAAUCUGCCCCUAACUCUGGGAUAAGCGCUGGAAACGGCGUCUAAUACUGGAUACGAGCUGCGAAGGCAUCUUCAGCAGCUGGAAAGAACUUCGGUCAGGGAUGAGCUCGCGGCCUAUCAGCUUGUUGGUGAGGUAACGGCUCACCAAGGCGUCGACGGGUAGCCGGCCUGAGAGGGUGACCGGCCACACUGGGACUGAGACACGGCCCAGACUCCUACGGGAGGCAGCAGUGGGGAAUAUUGCACAAUGGGCGAAAGCCUGAUGCAGCAACGCCGCGUGAGGGACGACGGCCUUCGGGUUGUAAACCUCUUUUAGCAGGGAAGAAGCGAAAGUGACGGUACCUGCAGAAAAAGCGCCGGCUAACUACGUG